rnacentral:lncRNA from 1 species
CCGCGGGGCAGGAAAGGCGGAGUCAGCAGCACCCCCGGGAAGCCGGCGCGCCAGGGUUUGCUAGAAGCUGGCCUGGAACCUGGCCUCCUGCCCGCCGGGCCCAGACAGGUGAACAGAAGCUCUUGGGGACCGAGCCCGGGCCUGCGGGCACGAGUGGUUAUAAAAGCCCUUAGGAUAACAAUAUUGGAGGACAGAAACAAACUCCUGCUUAUUCUACAUCAUCAUGAUGAGUACUUUUCUUUCUAUUUAAACGUGUCCAGCUGCAACACCGGUUGUUUCUGUGUAUCAGAUUGCUUCUAUUCUGCUGUUCAGCCACAAGGGUGGAGCACCUUAGGCCAUGCAAGAGAGGGCAGCAUAUUGGUGAAGGCACGAAGUCUGGUUCCCUGGUCCACUGAACCACCAUUCUGUGCUGAUCACCUGUCUGGAUUGUUUUAUGAGAAGAAAAUUAUUAUGCUUUGGAUCUUAAAUGUCCCCCCAAAACCACAUAUUCAAGGCAUAGUCCCAAGCUUGUGGCACUAUCAGGAAGUAGCAGGAUGUUUGGAGGUGGGACUAGUGGGAGGAAGUUGGGUCAGUAGUUGGGUCUUUGAAGUGGACGCUGCAGCCUUGGCCCCUUCCUCUUCGUGCUCGUCUGCCAUGAUUUGAGCAGCUUUUCUCCAUCACUUGCUACCUGCUGGCCGUGCGCUUCCCUACUGGACCCCAGACAGCAGCACCAUGAAUGGAAACCUCUGAGGCUGAGUGAAAAUCAAUCUUUGCUCCUUUUAAGUUGUUUAUCUCAGGUAUUUUUUUUCCCCCACAGCACUGGCAAGUUGACAGACACAGAAAUACAAAUUCUCUAUUAUUUAAUCCACUAUAUUUUUGAGCAGUAUUGCAGUUCAGCUUCUAUCCUAGCAAAGUCUCAUAUGGUUAGGCUAAUGAAUGCACAAUUGAACGUUUGAGGGGGAGCUCUGCAGACUUCUGGAGUUCUCUUCCUGUACAAUUCUGCAUGGUAGCUUGCACAACACCAUAUAAAAUAGAAUCCUAUUUAUGUAAAUGCCUUACGUGUAACACUGAAAUCUCAUAAUGAUAUUCACCAAAAUGUUAACAGGCUAUCUGUAGGGAGUGACUCCUUUUGGGCUGAGUGUAGAAAUGAGAGAGAGUUGUAUUUUCAUGUAUAUUCUUUGAUAACCUUUGGCUUUUUUAUGAUGUACAUGGACUAUUUUAUAAUUUGCAAAAAUAAAGAUUUAAAUGCUAUACCAGAAAAAAAUAGAAGAGAUUCUCACAUUCAAAGAUAUUGGAAAAUAUUGGUUUAUAUAAUUUCCAAAAUCCCCUUCUGUAUUCUGUGCUUCUAAUGAGUAGACUAAGAUUAGUACCAAAAAUCUCCCAGUGCUAAAAGUCCAUGACUUUCUCUCUAUCUGCUGUUGCUGCCCUG